GGACAAACCUAAGUGGGGCGAGUUGAAGCAAAGUUUAGUUCAUACAACAAUUGUAGGAGGCGCUAGUAAAUCUCACAGACACAUCUUUAAAAUAUAUCAGAGGCGCUAGUGACUUCACAAUACAUGCCUACAGUGUGUCAGUGACACAACAAACACACCAUUAUAGCUUGACAUUUGGCGCGAAAAGCCAAGGAAAAAAUGGUGGUGUAAUUUAAAGUGUCCGAAGUAGUGCCAGGCUCUUAAAGGGAAAGAAGAAGAAUUAAAAAUACUGCAAAUAAAGAAGAUAAGUAUAUUUCCAAUAUUAAUAACCCAACAGAUCCAAUAGGCUCUCAUGCAUGCAAUUGUUAUCCUUCUUACAUUAUAAUUUUCCAAAGUACGGCUCAAAUAACAAACAUAUUACUUUUCUUCAACAUGUCUUAACAUAGGAUAAUUACUAACAAUAUUAUAAUUAUUACUUCUUUUCUGAAAUAGGAUAUGACUAUUAAAAAUUUGAUUUCUUUCUGUGCAGGUAAUGUGCAGACAAGAAACGCACGAGAAGAGGAAAUAUAUUUUCUUACCAUUCUAGCAACAACGUGAGAGGAUAACCAGGCUCAUCAGGCAUAAGAGGCUUUAGGAGAAUAAGGGAAAGAAUUUUACCUUUUCAUUCUCGAUUCCAACCACGUAAAGAGGACCGAGAUGACCAGGAUUCCAGCCACAUCGUCGGACAUAUACUUCAAUAUAUAUAAAGUAUAUUAUAUAUUCACAUAAGAAAAACGGAAAAUAAAUUUUGCCUAUAUAAAUAA